rnacentral:lncRNA from 1 species
GUUCCGGAGCUACGGAGCGGCAACUGAGGCAGGAGCUCAGGACUGGGGGGAGAAAGAGAGACCCUGGAAGCGAUUAACGUGCCCCUUGCUUUACAGAUGUGGCAGAUAAGACACGAGAGGGAGCUCUGGUCCCCGAGGGGCUGUCCCGGGAGGGAGCGAGGUGGGGAGGGGGAGCAGGCCCUGCCCCGAGCACCCCGCGGACUGAGCGUCUGGCGUGCACGGCGGAGGGGUUACCGCGGGGAGGUGACACCCCAGGGUGGUGAGGGCACGCAGAUGAGGCUGGCCUGAGGGGUGCCUGCUUUGGGGAAAGCAGUCUGUGGAGGGAGGGAAGGAGGGCGAUCGCGGCCCCACGCGGGUUGUGCUGCUGAGGCUCCGCGCCGCAGGAAAGGCACCCUAGCCGGAUUCGCCCUCGGACGCCCCAGCUGGGCACACUCACGCGGCUCUCCCGCGGCUUCUCGGGAAUUCGCCUCCAGGGCAAUCAGCUCUUCGCACAAACGUUCAAACCAAGGCAGAGUGCGGGAAGGAAAGGACAGCUGAUACCCAGGAGCCUCCAGAAAGGAGAGGGCUGUGCCAUGGCCAGGCACCCCUGCACCCCUCCCCCAACACCCCAGGCAUGGUCAUCGGGCCCUUGGAGCUUUGCCAGGGCCAGGACUCUGCUUCGGCGUGCAGGCAGGACCUGGGAACCUGGGUCUCUGGCAUCUUGUUCUGAACGUGGGGAUUCUUCCGGAGGGCAGAGCAGACGUGCCCAUGCCUCUUCUCCACCAAACCCAGGAGCUGGGAGCGAACAGCAGGGCCGGCAUCCAUCCCAGGCACACAGGGGCACACAUCAGCUCUGGCUGCCCAUCCCUCUCUGAGCAUUGCAGAAAGGCGGGUGCCGCAGGGCUCCCAGCUCACCCCAAGUUCCUCUUAGCAAUAGAAAACCUGAAUUCCCCUCUUCUGAGUAUUUUGAAGGCAACAGGAUGUACAUGUUCAACAUU